rnacentral:rRNA from 1 species
CACGUAGGCACCAAGCGUUGUCCGGAUUUAUUGGGCGUAAAGAGCUCGUAGGCGGUUCGGUAAGUCGGGUGUGAAAACUUUGGGCUUAACCCAAAGACUGCAUCCGAUACUGCUGUGACUUGAGUCCGGUAGGGGAGUGGGGAAUUCCUGGUGUAGCGGUGGAAUGCGCAGAUAUCAGGAGGAACACCGGUGGCGAAGGCGCCACUCUGGGCCGGUACUGACGCUGAGGAGCGAAAGCGUGGGGAGCGAACAGG